AAUUAGGUUGUGAAAAGGGGGAACUAAAGACAGAUACUGACUAUCAGCUCUGGCCUCUACAGAUAUUUUUACAUUUCUCGCAACCAGUAAUGACAGACAAUAUUUAGAUAUUGUGAUCUGUAAAUGUGCUCACAAGUAUCAGAGAACAAGAUCUCAACCGAACAGUGAGACCUAUAGUGAGACAGGGAGAUGGCUGGUACACAGUAGCGAGUGAUUCAGAGGAGUGCGGUGAUGAUUGGCUGUUCCUGAGAGGUCCUGAAAGGUCUUGCAGCUUUUUCUAGAAGACCUGCAAGAAGGAGAAAGAAGGCCAACAUUACUGUGGAGAAAACAGUGACUUAACAGUCAAAUACCGUCCCAAGUUCCUGAAUGGCUCUGGGUGUGUGGUCCAGGCAGAGGUCCUGACCUGUGUGUGUGUCAGUCAGGGGGUUCCCUUGCCAGUGAUUGCUUGGCUAAUAUUAGGGGUCUAUAUUAGUUACAGUGUCAUCGUCUCCAGGAGUGCCCAAACCAUGAACAGCACCAUCACCAUGUCUGCCUCAGAAUACAAGAACAGUAGCGUGGAGUGUGUCAGCAGAAAUGUAGUUGGCCAGACCGAGAUGGAGUUCCCCAUACUACACCAAGCUGAAGGGAGCCUGACACUUUGUCUUGUUUGUCAAGUCAACCAGGGUUUUUGUCUCAGCUCCUGCUGACCCUUGCCUGUCCUGACUCUGAGCCCACCUGCCUGACCACUCUGCCUGCCCCCCUGUACCUUUGCCUCUACUCUGGAUUACCGACCUCUGCCUGCCUUGACCUGUCAUUUGCCUGCCCCUGUUGCUGUAAUAAACAUUGUUACUUCAACACAGUCUGCAUGUGGGUCUUACCUGAAAGCAUGUCAGUACGAACUGGCCAUGACUGACCCAGCAGACUUGGACCAGCUCUGCAACGCCAUCUCCUUCAAAGGAGCUACCACUGGAGGCACGAGGAGUUGAUUCGCGGUCUGAUGGAAGUGUUCCAGGCUGUGGUCGAACAUCAUGACCUAGCAUUGGAUGCAUUGCGGGAGCAAUUCCGUGGGUUGCCUACUAGGCAGCCUACCAUGAUGAUAACCUCCCAGCCCCAGCUGGUAGCAGCGCCGUCACCCCGGUUUCCUGGGAUCCCUGCUUACCUCCCCUGGAGUGCUACGAUGGAGAUUCCAGAACCUGCUGGGCCUUUCUCUCCCAGUGCUCCCUCGUUUUCAAGCUGCAGCCUUCUUCAUUCCCCUCGGACCGCACGAGGAUAGCGUAUAUCAUUAUUCUGAUGUCCGGGAUGGCACUCGCCUGGGCCACGGCGGUGUGGGAGCAACAAUCUGUCGUCUGCCUCAGUCUGAAGGGAUUCAUGGCGGACGUGAAACAGGUUUUCGAGGCCCUGACCCUGACUGCUGUCCUGUACAUUUGCCACUACUCUGGAUUACCGACCUCUGCCUGACCUGACCCUGAGCCUGCCUGCCAUCCUGUACCUUCGUCCCACUACUCUGGAUUACCGACCUCUGCCUGACCUGACCCUGAGCCUGCCUGCUGUCCUGUACCUUC